GACGAACGCUGGCGGCGUGCUUAACACAUGCAAGUCGAGCGGUAAGGCCCUUUCGGGGGUACACGAGCGGCGAACGGGUGAGUAACACGUGGGUGACCUGCCCUCAGCUCUGGGAUAAGCCUGGGAAACCGGGUCUAAUACUGGAUAUGACUCCAUGACGCAUGUUGUGGGGUGGAAAGCCUUGUGCGGCUGAGGAUGGGCCCGCGGCCUAUCAGCUUGUUGGUGGGGNGAUGGCCUACCAAGGCGACGACGGGUAGCCGGCCUGAGAGGGCGACCGGCCACACUGGGACUGAGACACGGCCCAGACUCCUACGGGAGGCAGCAGUGGGGAAUCUUGCGCAAUGGGCGAAAGCCUGACGCAGCGACGCCGCGUGGA
rnacentral:rRNA from 1 species